UGAGGAUUGCACAUGCGCGAGGGUAUGGCCUAUAGAAUAGCGCAUGCGCACUACUUGUGCCACAUGGUGUAUUGCUGUAUUCCAGAAGGAACUGAAUAGUUGGCGAGUGUGUGGAUCUGUUCCAAUCUUGAACGCUAAGGUGAUUGCAGUGACUGUUAGUGAACAACUGAGCAGCAAUGGCAAGAGAGGCGAUCUCAGCCCACCAGGAAAGUCAUCCACAACUUUAUAAUGGUGUAAUAUAGUGUGGUACUCCAUUUCCCUUUCUUUAGCAGUCAGUGAUGAUAAAAGUUUAAGAGACAGAACUGAGUCUGACUGGUGAGUGGAGUGCCAUGGUGGUGCAAUCACACUUGGAACUGUGGCCGUUCUGUCAACAAACAGCCCAUCCAUCGGAGGCAAUUAAUUAGGUGGGUGUGGCUUAUCUAGCGAAGAGACAAUUCUGGACAAUAAUUAUUAGCUUUAGAAUAAACUUUUUUUGGUUGCAAUGAUGUAAUUGAAUGUUUAAUACAAACAUGUGCUGAAAUAAUGAA